ensembl:lncRNA
GGUAGUUAAUAAAUGCUUUUAUUUCCUGAAGAAGAGAUGAGGAAAUGCACCUGGUUCCCUUCAUUAGAGAAAUGGAGGACAAUAACUGAGGAAUGUUGCAUCUGCUUUCAGACUCAGUUGACAUAUUGCUCAGUUUUGCAGAAAGGAAUCCAGGGAAACCAAGACGUGAUCUUUUUGCCCAGCCUUAUCUUUUCACAGGAAAGGUUACUUAUGACGCAGAGGGGGAAAUAAUUUGCUCAAGGUUGCUCAGAUAGCAAGUAGCGGACUGGAGAGGAAGAACCCGGGUCCCCAGACACCAGAUCCUGCCUCCUUUCUGACUCUGCCUCUCCCUCCACAGGCAGCAUCCCUGAGGGAACAUACGGGUUUGCCAGGGGGAGUUGGCAGUGCCUGGCCUUAACGCUGGGAGUUGCAGAGUUAAUCUCUCCUCCAACCCCCCCCCCCCUCCUGCUCCCCAGAUCGCAGAGAGGCCACCCAGGCAACCGGAUGCAGAAGAGCGUUUCCUGUUUCCAGCUCGUUAUCCUGAUAGCAGCAUCAGCCAGCGGGUCUUGCUUGGGGCUGUCUUUGCAGGUACUCCAUCCCCCGCCUGGGGCUCAGAAUCAGAGGACUCUCUGUCUUCUGCCUCCUCACACACACCUCCCUCCUGCGGCGCAUGGCCCUCUGUUUCUGAUGAUGUUAGCAUUUGAGGAUGUAGCGGGGUACCACUACCGGAAGGAAUGGAAACAACAGAUGGCUAUUUAAAGAGACCUCUACAGGGAUGUUAUGCAGGAGCAUUAGUAAAACCUGCAGUGUUUGGGUGAGGUGGUGGCUUUCUCUGGUAAUGGAACUCAAUUUUUACCUUUCCUUUAGCAUAGUUUGAGGGCUGAGAGCUCUCAGACCCCCUACCUUCAUUCCCAUCCUUUGUACUAUCUACUUCCUCUUCCUGAGAAUAGAUUCAAACAUCCACAGGAGUCCAGGGAUGAGGCUGGUCUCUACUGGGCCUCUCCUUUCUUACAUAUCAAAUAAUUUCCUAAAGAAGAGCCUUUCUUUUCUCCUAAGGGAGGAGUUUCCUUAAAUCGUCUAUAAGAAAACUGCUGUAAAAUUAUGUUUCAAAAACUAUUCGGUUAUGCUCCAAGUGUCAAAGCAUUAAGGAAGUAAAAACUGUUAGGGAUCCUCGAGAGCCCCUUUAAAUAGAAGGUUCCAAAAAACUUAUAAAACAGUAGCAGGAAACAGCUAGGUAGUUCAGUGGAUUGAGAGCCAGGCCUAGAGACAAGCAGUCCUGGGUUCAAAUUUGGCCUCGGAUACUUUCUAGCUGUGUGACCUUGGGCAAGUCACUUAACCUUCAUCACCUAGGCCUUCACUAUUCUGCCUUGGAACCAAAACACAGUAUUGAUUUGAAGAAGGAAGGUAAGAGUUUAAAAGAAAGAAAUGAAAGGAAAUUGCAUCAGCUGAAAAGAUGCAUUAAUUAGUAAUUAGUCUGUGAACAGCUUAUGCAUAUGUGUGUAUGUGUUUUAACUGUCAGGAAGAUUCAACAGAGGCCAUAACCAUCCUAACUAAAAAGAGCCAUAAUAGACCAGAGUGUUCUAGCAAAGAUUUUUUUCCUCUCAAUAUUUCCUGUUCUGGUUGGGAAGAAAAAAAAAAAUCAAAGCUAAAAAAACAGUUUAGAAGGACAACUAGGUGGCUCAGUGAAUAGAGAGCCAAGCUGGGAGGUCCUCAGUUCAAAUGUGGCCUCAGAAGCUUCCUAUCUUGGGGACCCUGAGCAAGUCACAUCGCUUAGCUCUUCUGCCUUGGAACUAGUACUUAGCAUCCAUUCUAAGAUGAAAGGUAAGGUUGGAAAAAAAAAAAGAUACUCCAUCUCUCAACUCCCAGCAUUUUCUCUAUUAUCUUCCUAGGUCUGGAAUGUUCUUCCUUCUCAUGUCCACUUCCUGACUUCUUUGACUUUCAACAAAUCUGGGUUAUAACCCUGCCUUCUAAAAGAAGCUUUUCCCAAGACCUUUUCAUUCUGAUGCCUUUCCUCCAUUGAUUAUUUUCUAUUGAUCCUAUACAUAGCUUGUUUGCUUGUUGUCUCCUCCAUUAAAUGGAGCCCUUUGAGGAAGGGAUUGUCUUUUGCCUUUUUUUCCUCUUUAGCACAAAGUAUAAUAAAUACUUAUUGAGUGACUGUCA